rnacentral:rRNA from 1 species
AACGAACGCUGGCGGCAGGCCUAACACAUGCAAGUCGAGCGAGGACUUCGGUCCUAGCGGCGGACGGGUGAGUAACGCGUGGGAACGUGCCCUUUGCUACGGAAUAGCCCCGGGAAACUGGGAGUAAUACCGUAUGUGCCCUUCGGGGGAAAGAUUUAUCGGCAAAGGAUCGGCCCGCGUUGGAUUAGGUAGUUGGUGGGGUAAUGGCCUACCAAGCCGACGAUCCAUAGCUGGUUUGAGAGGAUGAUCAGCCACACUGGGACUGAGACACGGCCCAGACUCCUACGGGAGGCAGCAGUGGGGAAUCUUAGACAAUGGGGGAAACCCUGAUCUAGCCAUGCCGCGUGAGCGAUGAAGGCCUUAGGGUUGUAAAGCUCUUUCAGUGGGGAAGAUAAUGACGGUACCCACAGAAGAAGCCCCGGCUAACUCCGUGCCAGCCGCCGCAGUAAAAC